AUUGAACGCUGGCGGCAUGGCUAAAACAUGCAAGUCGAACGAGAACCCCUUCGGGGGGGACAGUGGCGAAAGGGCGAGUAACGCGAUCGAACGUACCCCGAGGUGGGGGAUAGCGACGGGAAACUGUCGGUAAGACCCCAUGUGCUCUACGGAGGAAAGGUUUACCGCCUCGGGAGCGGCGAUCGUCCUAUCAGGUAGUUGGUGAGGUAAAGGCUCACCAAGCCGAAGACGGGUAGCGGGUGUGAGAGCACGACCCGCCGCAUCGGGACUGAGACACUGCCCGGACUCCUACGGGAGGCUGCAGUAACGAAUCUUCCGCAAUGGGCGCAAGCCUGACGGAGCAAUGCCGCGUGCAGGAUGAAGCGUCUUCGACGUGUAAACUGCUGUCAGGGUUUAGGAACAAUGACCAGACCCAGAGGAAGGGCCGGGCUAACUCUGUGCCAGCAGCCGCGGUAAUU
rnacentral:rRNA from 1 species